rnacentral:rRNA from 1 species
GAAUAUUGGACAAUGGGGGCAACCCUGAUCCAGCCAUGCCGCGUGUGUGCAGAAGGCCUUUUGGUUGUAAAGCACUUUACGCAGUUAAGAAGACUCCAUGGUUCAUACCCAUGGACGAUGACAUUAGCUGCAUAAUACGCACCGGCUAACUCUGUGCCAUCAGCCGCGGUAAUACAGAGGGUGCGAGCGUUAAUCGGAAUUACUGGGCGUAAAGCGAGCGUAGGUGGCUUGAUAAGUCAGAUGUGAAAUCCCCGGGCUUAACCUGGGAACUGCAUAUGAUACUGUUAGGCUAGAAUAGGUGAGAGGAAGGUAGAAUUCCAGGUGUAGCGGUGAAAUGCGUAGAGAUCUGGAGGAAUACCGAUGGCGAAGGCAGCCUUCUGGCAUCAUAUUGACACUGAGGUUCGAAAGCGUGGGUAGCAAAC